GAUGAACGCUGGCGGCGUGCCUAAUACAUGCAAGUCGAGCGAACAGACGAGGAGCUUGCUCCUCUGACGUUAGCGGCGGACGGGUGAGUAACACGUGGAUAACCUACCUAUAAGACUGGGAUAACUUCGGGAAACCGGAGCUAAUACCGGAUAAUAUAUUGAACCGCAUGGUUCAAUAGUGAAAGACGGUUUUGCUGUCACUUAUAGAUGGAUCCGCGCCGCAUUAGCUAGCUGGUAAGGUAACGGCUUACCAAGGCAACGAUGCGUAGCCGACCUGAGAGGGUGAUCGGCCACACUGGAACUGAGACACGGUCCAGAACCCUACGGGAGGCAGCAGUAGGGAAUCUUCCGCAAUGGGCGAAAGCCUGACGGAGCAACGCCGCCUGAGUGAUGAAGGUCUUCGGAUCGUAAAACUCUGUUAUUAGGGAAGAACAAAUGUGUAAGUAACUAUGCACGUCUUGACGGUACCUAAUCAGAAAGCCACGGCUAACUACGUG
rnacentral:rRNA from 1 species